GACGAACGCUGGCGGCAUGCUUAACACAUGCAAGUCGAACGGAAAGGCCCUGCUUUUGUGGGGUGCUCGAGUGGCGAACGGGUGAGUAACACGUGAGUAACCUGCCCUUGACUUUGGGAUAACUUCAGGAAACUGGGGCUAAUACCGGAUAGGAGCUCCUGCUGCAUGGUGGGGGUUGGAAAGUUUCGGCGGUUGGGGAUGGACUCGCGGCUUAUCAGCUUGUUGGUGGGGUAGUGGUUUACCAAGGCUUUGACGGGUAGCCGGCCUGAGAGGGUGACCGGCCACAUUGGGACUGAGAUACGGCCCAGACUCCUACGGGAGGCAGCAGUGGGGAAUAUUGCACAAUGGGCGGAAGCCUGAUGCAGCAACGCCGCGUGCGGGAUGACGGCCUUCGGGUUGUAAACCGCUUUCGCCUGUGACGAAGCGUGAGUGACGGUAAUGGGUAAAGAAGCACCGGCUAACUACGUG
rnacentral:rRNA from 1 species